AUGCUCCGGGAUCUGAUGGGAGAGAUCAGCGAUUUGCUCGGUACCAUCGCCGUGAGCGACGUGUUUCUGCGACUCCGUUGGGUGGACUGGGCAACAGGGCUCGAUGCGAGGGUGAAGAAGGCGGCGGCUAAGCUCGAUAACAUUCUCGAGAAGGCGGUCCAGGAGCACAAGAGAAGCAAAGGAGACGACGGCGGCGAGGCUGGUGACCUCCUGGACGACUUGCUCUCGGUCGUCAAGGAUGGUGAUCAGGGGUUCAAGCUGGACCGGACUGAUGUCAAGGCAAUCACCUCAGACAUGUUCCUGGCAGGAACAAACACGACUUCUAAGAUGAUAGAAUGGACCAUGGCCGAGCUCGUCAAUAACCCAAGAGAAAUGGAGAAGGUGCAGCAAGAGGUGAGACGGGUUGUCUUGUCGGUGCACGAGCACGAGUCAUGGAGGAGGAUGUGGAGAAAAUGA
rnacentral:rRNA from 1 species